rnacentral:rRNA from 1 species
GCGGAGGAAAAGAAACCAACAGGGAUUGCCUCAGUAACGGCGAGUGAAGCGGCAAAAGCUCAAAUUUGAAAUCUAGUACCUUCGGUGCUCGAGUUGUAAUUUGAAGAUGGCGACUUUGGGAGUGGCCUUUAUCUAUGUUCCUUGGAACAGGACGUCACAGAGGGUGAGAAUCCCGUCUGAUGAGGUGAUCCACUCCUUUGUAAAGUGCUAUCGAAGAGUCGAGUUGUUUGGGAAUGCAGCUCUAAGUGGGUGGUAAAUUCCAUCUAAAGCUAAAUAUUGGCGAGAGACCGAUAGCGAACAAGUACAGUGAUGGAAAGAUGAAAAGAACUUUGAAAAGAGAGUGAAAAAGUACGUGAAAUUGUUGAAAGGGAAGGGUAUUAGAUCAGACUUGGCGUUGUGUGAUUAUCUUCCCCUUGUGGGUUGUGCACUCGUGCUUCGCUGGGCCAGCAUCGAUUCGUGUGGCAGGAUAAUAGCAUUGGAACGUGGCUGCGCUUCUGUGUAGUGUUAUAGCCUUUGUUGAUACUGCCUAUGUGGAUCGAGGACUGCGUCUUUUUGACUAGGAUGCUGGCGUAAUGAUCUAAUAUCGCCCGUCUUG